GUAACUUGAGAGGGUUUUGAUUGAGAUUUAUUGUUUCAAUAUGGCAGGUUGUCUUGCUCUGUUCCUGUGUACUGGCAUUCUUCCUGAAUUACUGUAUAUUUCUUAAUACGACACUAAAUUCAGCACUAACGCAGACAAUUUGCGGUAACUUGAAGGAUUUCUUUACCAUUGGACUUGGCUGGGUGAUAUUUGGUGGCCUUCCAUUUGAUAUUUUGAAUGUCAUUGGGCAAUGUCUCGGUUUUCUUGGUUCUGGAUUGUACGCGUACAAUAAGCUCAUAGGGAAGUAGCAUAAUCAAUGGAUGGCUAGUUUUCUCCAUUGAAGAUGAUUGGUUGCUGCCUUUGCCCCUGUUCCCGCUCCAAUUUUGGGUUUGUGAUUAUGGAUCUUAGAAGGGAGAGGCGACUGUUAAAGAUAGGAGAUUUCUGCUCAGUGGAUACACAACUAUUAACUGGAAACAAAGCCUGCUUCUUUGGCCUUGUAGUUAUUCUUCUACAGGAUAGGUAUUAGAUUAGAAACAGUGAUGGCAAUUUAGUGUUAGCAGCUGCUUGCUGAUCUAAUUUGUUAGACUUGACAUUGUAUAUGAUGAUUCUCUCUCUUCCAAUG